rnacentral:rRNA from 1 species
AUUGAACGCUGGCGGCAGGCCUAACACAUGCAAGUCGAACGAGUGUCGGACGGGUGAGUAAUGUCUGGGCAACUGCCUGCUGGAUGGGGAUAACUACUGGAAACUGUAGCUAAUACCGCAUACCAUCGUAUGUUCCCAGAUGGGAUUAGCUAGUUGGUGGGGUAACGGCUCACCUAGGCGACGAUCCCUAGCUGGUCUUAGAGGAUGACCAGCCAAACUGGAACUGAGACACGGUCCAGACUCCUACGGGAGGCAGCAGUGGGGAAUAUUGGACAAUGGGCGAAAGCCUGAUCCAGACAUGCCGCGUGGGUGAAGAAGGUCUUCGGAUUGUAAAGCACUUUAAGUUGGGAGGCGUUACCAACAGAAUAAGCACCGGCUAACUUCGUGCCAGCAGCCGCGGUAAUUC